rnacentral:lncRNA from 1 species
GUUCGGGGACAUAAACAUAACAAGGGGCCAAUUUAUUUUAAUUGUUACCUGAACUUUUCAAUGUCGUUAUCCGACCCCAAAAUUUUGAAAACCCCUUACCUUAAGCAUGGAUGCCCAAGGGUAUAAUAUAGACAUGUGUUGAUGAUUUGAUAUUUUGUUUGUCCAUCAAUGUUCCAUUCAAUAAUGGAUCGUCCAUCAUAAUGCACCUUUCACCUGUAUCAUUAUCCUCGAAAUGAAGAUCCACUUGAGUUGGCCUAGGAUAAUAAUUUUUUAAAAUGGGUGUUCUUGUGACUCUAUGUCCUUAUUUUAUCCUAUUCACUUGUGGGUCUAAGGUUGAAUCGGCAAAUUGCUCUUCCAAAUCAACAAUUUAUGCCUCCGUAAUGACUAAGACACUUAACUCAGUUAACUUCAUUAAGCUCAAUCUUUUUGCCAAAGCAUCAACAAAAUUAUCAUCUGUUAGGGGUUUUCCUAGCUUAUAUAUAUUUUUUACAAAGUGAAAAUUAAACGUACAAACAACUGAGCUAAGAAGCCUUAUAAAUAGAAAACUAAAAGCAAACUGAAAAACCAGAUGUCGCAAAAGAUGAAGGGCACUAUAAUGCAACCUUGCACAUUAGGUGGCAUCUUCACUUUAUGAAGUGGAUCUGACUCAGCUUCAUGGGGUUGAACAUAAAGAUUCUGAAAAUGCAGCACACCGAAAAAAAUCUACAGGAAUCAAAGACAUUAUUCAAAGAAUGAAUAAUUGUUGACAUCUAGAUAUUAGACAGCGUAUUAACUUUUCUUUAUCAUUCUCUUUUAUCAGAGAACCACUUUCACUUUUAUCAAAGAAAAGCAUUUCAUACUUUAUUUCUUUGGACGGAUAAGAGGAUAGAUUCCAAAACAGUCGUCUUCGUUGUCAUUUCUGAAGUCUUCAUCCAUGUGAUUCUGGGAUGCAACUUCUGACUCUAUAUCCUCAUCAUCUAAGUCGUCGAGUUCAAGAAUUUUCAAAAACUUUUCCUUCAGAUCUUUUUUAGAAUAGGAAGGGCUGUAUUUGAUUAAAGACUUAGGUUUUUCAGUCUUUUUAAAUGAGU